UCGAAAGCAGCAUUAAGGUCUAGGAGCGCGAGGACAGAUGCAGAGUCUCGGUCUGACGCCAUUAAAAGGCCCACCCCUCCUCCCCGUGUCAUCGAUGGCCAUCCGCCGUACACAGUGAGAAGCCUCCUGAGUGAUCGACCACGGGGCAAGGGUUUCCAGUACCUGGUUGACUGGGAGGGUUAUGGCCCAGACAAGAAGUGUUGGGUCCCCACUAGAGACAUUCUGGACCCAGCCCUCAUCGCCGACUUCCACCGCCGGCACCCCGGUCAACCAGGUUUUGACCGUUGCCUGUCCUGACUCUGAGCCCGGCUGCCUGACCACUCUGCCUACCCUGAACUUGCCUGCCGUCCGGUACGGUUGCCCCACCUCUGGUUUACUGACCCCUGCCUGCCUUGACCCGUCUAUUGCCUGCCUCGGUUGGAUUAUUAUUAAACCAUUGUUAAUUCGACAUUGUCUGCAUCUGGGUCUUACCUUCAUACCUGAUAGGAACUCCUUCAAGACUGUUGGAAAAGCAUUCUAGGUGAAGCUGGUUGAGAGAAUGCCAAGUGUGUGCAACGCUGUCAUCAAGGCAAAGAGUGGCUACUUUGAAGAAUCUCAAAUAUAAAAUAAAAAUG
ensembl:lncRNA